rnacentral:rRNA from 1 species
CGCGUAGGCGGCCUUCUAAGUCGAACGUGAAAUCCCCGGGCUCAACCCGGGAACUGCGUCCGAGACUGAAAGGCUUGAAUCCGGGAGAGGGAUGUGGAAUUCCAGGUGUAGCGGUGAAAUGCGUAGAUAUCUGGAGGAACAUCGGUGGCGAAGGCGGCAUCCUGGACCGGUAUUGACGCUGAGGCGCGAAAGCCAGGGGAGCAAACG